rnacentral:rRNA from 1 species
AGACGUGGCGGAGGCUAUACAUGCAUGUCGAGCGCGCCUUCGGGGUGAGCGGCGGACGGGUUAGUAACGCGUGGGAACGUGCCCUUCUCUAAGGAAUAGCCACUGGAAACGGUGAGUAAUACCUUAUACGCCCCCCAAUCAAAUUCCAUUUGGUUGACGGAAAUUCUGUUGAAUGCCGGAUGGCAUUUGAUGGGGGGGAAAGAUUUAUCGGAGAAGGAUCGGCCCGCGUUAGAUUAGAUAGUUGGUGGGGUAAUGGCCUACCAAGUCUACGAUCUAUAGCUGGUUUUAGAGGAUGAUCAGCAACACUGGGACUGAGACACGGCCCAGACUCCUACGGGAGGCAGCAGUAGGGAAUCUUGGACGAUGGGCGCAAGCCUGAUCCAGCCAUGGCGCGUGAGUUGACAGAAGGCCUUAGGGUCGUAAAGCUCUUUCGCCUGUGAUGAUCAUGACCGUAGCAGGUAAAGAAAGCGCGGCUAACUCCGUGACAGCAGUCGCGGUAAUACGGAGGGGGUUAGCGGUGUUCGGAAUUCGGGGCGUUAAGCGCGCGUAGCCGAUUGGGACAGUUGACGGUGAAACUCCCGGGGGCUCAAGCCUCGGGAACG